UACAGAGGUCUCAAGCGUUUGUUCGGAUUCAUUGGGCGUAAAGGGUGCGUAGGCGGCGCGGUAAGUCGGGUGUGAAAUCUUGGAGCUUAACUCCGAAACUGCAUUCGAUACUGCCGUGCUUGAGGACUGGAGAGGAGACUGGAAUUUACGGUGUAGCGGUGAAAUGCGUAGAUAUCGUAAGGAAGACCAGUGGCGAAGGCGGGUCUCUGGACAGUUCCUGAC
rnacentral:rRNA from 1 species